GGUUAAGCGACUAAGCGUACACGGUGGAUGCCCUGGCAGUCAGAGGCGAUGAAGGACGUGCUAAUCUGCGAUAAGCGUCGGUAAGGUGAUAUGAACCGUUAUAACCGGCGAUUUCCGAAUGGGGAAACCCAGUGUGUUUCGACACACUAUCAUUAACUGAAUCCAUAGGUUAAUGAGGCGAACCGGGGGAACUGAAACAUCUAAGUACCCCGAGGAAAAGAAAUCAACCGAGAUUCCCCCAGUAGCGGCGAGCGAACGGGGAGGAGCCCAGAGCCUGAAUCAGUGUGUGUGUUAGUGGAAGCGUCUGGAAAGGCGCGCGAUACAGGGUGACAGCCCCGUACACAAAAAUGCACAUGCUGUGAGCUCGAUGAGUAGGGCGGGACACGUGGUAUCCUGUCUGAAUAUGGGGGGACCAUCCUCCAAGGCUAAAUACUCCUGACUGACCGAUAGUGAACCAGUACCGUGAGGGAAAGGCGAAAAGAACCCCGGCGAGGGGAGUGAAAAAGAACCUGAAACCGUGUACGUACAAGCAGUGGGAGCCUCUUAAUGGGGUGACUGCGUACCUUUUGUAUAAUGGGUCAGCGACUUAUAUUCUGUAGCAAGGUUAACCGAAUAGGGGAGCCGAAGGGAAACCGAGUCUUAACUGGGCGUUAAGUUGCAGGGUAUAGACCCGAAACCCGGUGAUCUAGCCAUGGGCAGGUUGAAGGUUGGGUAACACUAACUGGAGGACCGAACCGACUAAUGUUGAAAAAUUAGCGGAUGACUUGUGGCUGGGGGUGAAAGGCCAAUCAAACCGGGAGAUAGCUGGUUCUCCCCGAAAGCUAUUUAGGUAGCGCCUCGUGAAUUCAUCUCCGGGGGUAGAGCACUGUUUCGGCAAGGGGGUCAUCCCGACUUACCAACCCGAUGCAAACUGCGAAUACCGGAGAAUGUUAUCACGGGAGACACACGGCGGGUGCUAACGUCCGUCGUGAAGAGGGAAACAACCCAGACCGCCAGCUAAGGUCCCAAAGUCAUGGUUAAGUGGGAAACGAUGUGGGAAGGCCCAGACAGCCAGGAUGUUGGCUUAGAAGCAGCCAUCAUUUAAAGAAAGCGUAAUAGCUCACUGGUCGAGUCGGCCUGCGCGGAAGAUGUAACGGGGCUAAACCAUGCACCGAAGCUGCGGCAGCGACACUAUGU
rnacentral:rRNA from 1 species